UGAGGCAGAUUCAAGAGUCUCUAGUUAUGC
rnacentral:piRNA from 1 species